UACGUAGGGUGCAAGCGUUGUCCGGAAUUAUUGGGCGUAAAGAGCUCGUAGGCGGUUUGUCGCGUCUGCUGUGAAACCCGAGGCUCAACCUCGGGCCUGCAGUGGGUACGGGCAGACUAGAGUGCGGUAGGGGAGAUUGGAAUUCCUGGUGUAGCGGUGGAAUGCGCAGAUAUCAGGAGGAACACCGAUGGCGAAGGCAGAUCUCUGGGCCGUAACUGGACGCUGAGGAGCGAAAGCAUGGGGAGCGAACAGG
rnacentral:rRNA from 1 species